UUUUUAAUUGGGAUCUUGUAUGAAUGAUUGGACAAGAGAAAUACUGUCUUUGUAUUAAAACUUGAAUUUAACUUUUAAGUGAAAAGGCUUAAAUAUACUAAAGGGACGAUAAGACCCUAUAAAACUUUACAUUUAUGUUAAAUUUUAUGGAAUUUGAAGAUUAUAAUUAUUAAAUUUAAUUUUUUGUUAUGUUGGGGAGACAAAAGCUAUAAUUAUAUAUAACUGCUUUUAAGGGAAACAAGAAUAAGUGAGGAAGAUUGGAGAUCCUUUAUUGAGAUUAUAAGAUUAAGUUACUUUAGGGAUAACAGCGUUAUUUUUUUUGAGAGUUCAUAUUGAAAAAAAAGAUUGCGACCUCGAUGUUGAAUUAAAAUAUCUUUAUAAUGCAGGUGUUAUAAAAGAAGGUCUGUUCGACCUUUAAUUUU
rnacentral:rRNA from 1 species